rnacentral:rRNA from 1 species
AGAGUUUGAUCCUGGCUCAGGAUGAACGCUGGCGGCGUGCCUAAUACAUGCAAGUCGAACGCUUCACUUCGGUGAAGAGUGGCGAACGGGUGAGUAAUACAUAAGUAACCUGGCAUCUACAGGGGGAUAACUGAUGGAAACGUCAGCUAAGACCGCAUAGGUGUAGAGAUCGCAUGAACUCUAUAUGAAAAGUGCUACGGGACUGGUAGAUGAUGGACUUAUGGCGCAUUAGCUUGUUGGUAGGGUAACGGCCUACCAAGGCGACGAUGCGUAGCCGACCUGAGAGGGUGACCGGCCACACUGGGACUGAGACACGGCCCAGACUCCUACGGGAGGCAGCAGUAGGGAAUUUUCGGCAAUGGGGGAAACCCUGACCGAGCAACGCCGCGUGAAGGAAGAAGUAAUUCGUUAUGUAAACUUCUGUCAUAGAGGAAGAACGGUGGAUAUAGGGAAUGAUAUCCAAGUGACGGUACUCUAUAAGAAAGCCACGGCUAACUACGUGCCAGCAGCCGCGGUAAUACGUAGGUGGCGAGCGUUAUCCGGAAUUAUUGGGCGUAAAGAGGGAGCAGGCGGCACUAAGGGUCUGUGGUGAAAGAUCGAAGCUUAACUUCGGUAAGCCAUGGAAACCGUAGAGCUAGAGUGUGUGAGAGGAUCGUGGAAUUCCAUGUGUAGCGGUGAAAUGCGUAGAUAUAUGGAGGAACACCAGUGGCGAAGGCGACGAUCUGGCGCAUAACUGACGCUCAGUCCCGAAAGCGUGGGGAGCAAAUAGGAUUAGAUACCCUAGUAGUCCACGCCGUAAACGAUGAGAACUAAGUGUUGGAGGAAUUCAGUGCUGCAGUUAACGCAAUAAGUUCUCCGCCUGGGGAGUAUGCACGCAAGUGUGAAACUCAAAGGAAUUGACGGGGGCCCGCACAAGCGGUGGAGUAUGUGGUUUAAUUCGACGCAACGCGAAGAACCUUACCAAGACUUGACAUUGAUUGAAAGACUUAGAGAUAAGUCCCUUCUCUUCGGAGAACAAGAAAACAGGUGGUGCAUGGCUGUCGUCAGCUCGUGUCGUGAGAUGUUGGGUUAAGUCCCGCAACGAGCGCAACCCUUGUCGCAUGUUACCAGCAUCAAGUUGGGGACUCAUGCGAGACUGCCGGUGACAAACCGGAGGAAGGUGGGGAUGACGUCAAAUCAUCAUGCCCCUUAUGGCCUGGGCUACACACGUACUACAAUGGCGACCACAAAGAGCAGCGACUUGGUGACAAGAAGCGAAUCUCAUAAAGGUCGUCUCAGUUCGGAUUGAAGUCUGCAACUCGACUUCAUGAAGUCGGAAUCGCUAGUAAUCGCAGAUCAGCAUGCUGCGGUGAAUACGUUCUCGGGCCUUGUACACACCGCCCGUCAAACCAUGGGAGUCAGUAAUACCCGAAGCCGGUGGCAUAACCGUAAGGAGUGAGCCGUCGAAGGUAGGACCGAUGACUGGGGUUAAGUCGUAACAAGGUAUCCCUACGGGAACGUGGGGAUG